rnacentral:rRNA from 1 species
GAUGAACGCUGGCGGCGUGCCUAAUACAUGCAAGUCGAGCGAACAGAUAAGGAGCUUGCUCCUUUGACGUUAGCGGCGGACGGGUGAGUAACACGUGGGUAACCUACCUAUAAGACUGGGAUAACUUCGGGAAACCGGAGCUAAUACCGGAUAACAUUUGGAACCGCAUGGUUCUAAAGUGAAAGAUGGUUUUGCUAUCACUUAUAGAUGGACCCGCGCCGUAUUAGCUAGUUGGUAAGGUAACGGCUUACCAAGGCGACGAUACGUAGCCGACCUGAGAGGGUGAUCGGCCACACUGGAACUGAGACACGGUCCAGACUCCUACGGGAGGCAGCAGUAGGGAAUCUUCCGCAAUGGGGGAAAGCCUGACGGAGCAACGCCGCGUGAGUGAUGAAGGGUUUCGGCUCGUAAAACUCUGUUAUUAGGGAAGAACAAACGUGUAAGUAACUGUGCACGUCUUGACGGUACCUAAUCAGAAAGCCACGGCUAACUACGUG